rnacentral:misc_RNA from 1 species
UCAACCCUCAAGCCUGGCUUGUUAUUGGGUCUUGUAUCAAUUUUCGGAUUGAUAGGCCUGAAAGAUAAUGGCGGUGUCACUAAAUGACUCCUGGUGCAGCGAGCUUUUUAACUAGCAUACACUGGACAGUCUUUAAUGAAACCUCGCCUGAAAAUUCUUUUAUUUUCUUCAAGG